GGCCUGGCUGGCCGGUCCGCCUCACCGCGUGUACUGGUCUGGCCGGGCCUUUCCUUCUGGAGAACCUCAUGCCCUUCAUUGGGUGUGUUGGGGAACCAGGACUUUUACUUUGAAAAAAUUAGAGUGUUUAAAGCAGGCCUACGCUUGAAUACAUUAGCAUGGAAUAAUAGAAUAGGACUU
rnacentral:rRNA from 1 species